UCCUUGAUGGCUCAGACAGUAAAGAAUCUGCCUGCAAUGCAGGAGACUCAGGUUCGAUCCCUGGGUUGGGAA
rnacentral:tRNA from 1 species